rnacentral:rRNA from 1 species
UUAAGUGACUAAGCGUACAAGGUGGAUGCCUUGGCAAUCAGAGGCGAAGAAGGACGUGCUAAUCUGCGAAAAGCUUGGAUGAGUCGAUAAGAGGCGUUUAAUCCAAGAUAUCCGAAUGGGGAAACCCAGUAGAUGAAGAAUCUACUAUCAACAAGUGAAUUCAUAGCUUGUUGAGGCAAACCGGGAGAACUGAAACAUCUAAGUACCCCGAGGAAAAGAAAUCAACCGAGAUUUCGUCAGUAGCGGCGAGCGAAAGCGAAAGAGCCAGUAAGUGAUAGCAGUAUAGUGAGGAGAAUGUGUUGGGAAACACAAUCAAAGAGGGUGAUAAUCCCGUAUCUAAAAACCAUAUUGUGGUACUAAGCUAACGAGAAGUAGGGCGGGACACGUGAUAUCCUGUUUGAAGAAGGGGGGACCAUCCUCCAAGGCUAAAUACUCCUGAUUGACCGAUAGUGAACCAGUACUGUGAAGGAAAGGCGAAAAGAACCCCGGUGAGGGGAGUGAAAUAGAACCUGAAACCUUGUACGUACAAGCAGUGGGAGCCCCAUCACUUAAUCCGAUUGGAAGGUGAUGAAAAGCAACCGCACUUAAACAAUGGUAAGAGGAGCGAAGCGAGUCAAACCACCCAAAAGAAGCAGUGGGAUUAAGUGAUGGGGUGACUGCGUACCUUUUGUAUAAUGGGUCAGCGACUUAUAUUUUGUAGCGAGGUUAACCGAAUAGGGGAGCCGAAGGGAAACCGAGUCUUAACUGGGCGAAUAGUUGCAAGGUAUAGACCCGAAACCCGGUGAUCUAGCCAUGGGCAGGUUGAAGGUUGGGUAACACUAACUGGAGGACCGAACCGACUAAUGUUGAAAAAUUAGCGGAUGACUUGUGGCUGGGGGUGAAAGGCCAAUCAAACCGGGAGAUAGCUGGUUCUCCCCGAAAUCUAUUUAGGUAGAGCCUUGAGGUGACACCUUUGGGGGUAGAGCACUGUUUCGGCUAGGGGGCCAUCCCGGCUUACCAACCCGAUGCAAACUACGAAUACCAAAGAGUGAUACUCAGGAGACACACGGCGGGUGCUAACGUCCGUCGUGGAGAGGGAAACAACCCAGACCGCCAGCUAAGGUCCCCAAGUCUAUAUUAAGUGGGAAACGAAGUGGGAAGGCUUAGACAGCUAGGAUGUUGGCUUAGAAGCAGCCAUCAUUUAAAGAAAGCGUAAUAGCUCACUAGUCGAGUCGGCCUGCGCGGAAGAUGUAACGGGGCUGAAAUAUAGCACCGAAGCUGCGGCAUCAGAAUUUAUUCUGUUGGGUAGGGGAGCGUUGUGUAAGCGGAAGAAGGUUCAUCGAGAGGUGGGCUGGACGUAUCACAAGUGCGAAUGCUGACAUAAGUAACGAUAAAACGGGUGAAAAACCCGUUCGCCGGAAGACCAAGGGUUCCUGUCCAACGUUAAUCGGGGCAGGGUGAGUCGGCUCCUAAGGCGAGGCUGAAAAGCGUAGUCGAUGGGAAACAGGUUAAUAUUCCUGUACUUGGUAAAGCUGCGAUGUGGGGACGGAGUAGGUUAGGUUAUCGCACUGUUGGAUAUGUGCGUUUAAGUUGGUAGGUGGGAAGUUUAGGCAAAUCCGGACUUCCUUAACACAGAGAGAUGAUGACGAGGCUCUACGGAGCUGAAGUAACUGAUACCACACUUCCAGGAAAAGCCACUAAGCGAAAGGCUUUACUAAACCGUACUGAAAACCGACACAGGUGGUCAGGUAGAGAAUACUCAGGCGCUUGAGAGAACUCGGGUGAAGGAACUAGGCAAAAUAGCACCGUAACUUCGGGAGAAGGUGCGCCGGCGUAGAUUGUAAGGGCUAGCCCCUGAAGGUUGAACCGGUCGAAGAUACCAGCUGGCUGCAACUGUUUAUUAAAAACACAGCACUCUGCAAACACGAAAGUGGACGUAUAGGGUGUGAUGCCUGCCCGGUGCUGGAAGGUUAAUUGAUGGUGUAAUCGCAAGAGAAGCACCUGAUCGAAGCCCCAGUAAACGGCGGCCGUAACUAUAACGGUCCUAAGGUAGCGAAAUUCCUUGUCGGGUAAGUUCCGACCUGCACGAAUGGCAUAAUGAUGGCCAGGCUGUCUCCACCCGAGACUCAGUGAAAUUGAAAUCGCCGUGAAGAUGCGGUGUACCCGCGGCUAGACGGAAAGACCCCGUGAACCUUUACUAUAGCUUGACACUGAACAUUGAAUUUUGAUGUGUAGGAUAGGUGGGAGACUUAGAAGUAGGAACGCCAGUUUCUAUGGAGUCAUCCUUGAAAUACCACCCUUUAACGUUUGAUGUUCUAACGAAGAUUGCGGAACGCGGUCUCGGACAGUGUCUGGUGGGUAGUUUGACUGGGGCGGUCUCCUCCCAAAGCGUAACGGAGGAGCACGAAGGUUUGCUAAUCACGGUCGGACAUCGUGAGGUUAGUGCAAUGGUAUAAGCAAGCUUAACUGCGAGACAGACAAGUCGAGCAGGUACGAAAGUAGGUCAUAGUGAUCCGGUGGUUCUGAAUGGAAGGGCCAUCGCUCAACGGAUAAAAGGUACUCCGGGGAUAACAGGCUGAUACCGCCCAAGAGUUCAUAUCGACGGCGGUGUUUGGCACCUCGAUGUCGGCUCAUCACAUCCUGGGGCUGAAGUAGGUCCCAAGGGUAUGGCUGUUCGCCAUUUAAAGUGGUACGCGAGCUGGGUUUAGAACGUCGUGAGACAGUUCGGUCCCUAUCUGCCGUGGGCGUUGGAUGAUUGAUUGGGGCUGCUCCUAGUACGAGAGGACCGGAGUGGACGCAUCACUGGUGUUCCGGUUGUGUCGCCAGACGCAUUGCCGGGUAGCUAAAUGCGGAAGAGAUAAGUGCUGAAAGCAUCUAAGCACGAAACUUGCCAAGAGAUGAGUCAUCCCUGACUUUAAGUCAGUAAGGGUUGUUGUAGACUACGACGUAGAUAGGUUGGGUGUGUAAGUGAUGUGAGUCAUUGAGCUAACCAAUACUAAUUGCCCGAGAGGCUUAACUAU